UGGGGAAUAUUGCACAAUGGGCGCAAGCCUGAUGCCGCCAUGUCGCGUGUGUGAAGAAGGCCUUCGGGUUGUAAAGCACUUUCAGCGGGGAGGAAGGCGUUAAGGUUAAUAACCUUGGCGAUUGACGUUACCCGCAGAAGAAGCACCGGCUAACUCCGUGCCAGCAGCCGCGGUAAUACGGAGGGUGCAAGCGUUAAUCGGAAUUACUGGGCGUAAAGCGCACGCAGGCGGUCUGUCAAGUCGGAUGUGAAAUCCCCGGGCUCAAACUGGGAACUGCAUUCGAAACUGGCAGGCUAGAGUCUUGUAGGGGGGGGUAGAAUUCCAGGUGUAGCGGUGAAAUGCGUAGAGAUCUGGGGGAAUACCGGUGGCGAAGGCGGCCCCCUGGACAAAGACUGACGCUCAGGUGCGAAAGCGGGGGGAGCAAACAGG
rnacentral:rRNA from 1 species